rnacentral:rRNA from 1 species
UACGAAGGUGGCAAGCGUUGUUCGGAUUUACUGGGCGUACAGGGAGCGUAGGCGGUUGGAUAAGCCCUCCGUGAAAUCUCCAGGCUUAACCUGGAAAGUGCAGAGGGGACUGUUCAGCUAGAGGAUGGGAGAGGAGCGCGGAAUUCCCAGUGUAGCGGUGAAAUGCGUAGAUAUUGGGAGGAACACCAGUGGCGAAGGCGGCUCACUGGACCGGUACUGACGCUGAGGCGCGAAAGCGUGGGGAGCAAACAGG